rnacentral:tRNA from 1 species
UGUUCUGUGGAUUAGCUGGAUAAAGCGCCGGUCUAGCGAAUACGGACGGAGUCGUGGGUUCGAAUCCCACCAGAACGC